CGCGCUGGGCUCGACCAAUCAGAGAGUGUAAACAAACCAACUUGAAUACCCACAAUUACGUGCGGUUAUGGUGGUGCAUUAUAUGCAAAUUGUAUAAACAUGAAAACGACAUUUGCUGCUGCUGGGUGCUUGUCAUCCAGCAAGCAAGGCAUCAAAUUCUUCAGCUUUCCAAGGGAUCCAGCAAGUGUGGUGCUGUGGUGAAUACCUGGCAACAGCUGUUUGAUGAUCACCUUGUGAACACAUUUGAAGUAUGGUUUGAACAAUAAUCCAACUGUGGGACAGUUUGUAGAUGCCCUGAAGACUAACAUCAUCAGUGCACUUGCUAUCAGAGGUCUGUGUGGAACUAGUUGUCAGAAGAUGAUCAGAGUUCAUUCUGCCCUGUAUCUGAAAAUAAUUAUAUUUCAGUCAAGAACUGUGUGGGAAAUUCUUUUCUGACU